AUUGAACGCUGGCGGCAUGCCUUACACAUGCAAGUCGAACGGCAGCGCGGGAGCAAUCCUGGCGGCGAGUGGCGAACGGGUGAGUAAUAUAUCGGAACGUGCCCAGUAGUGGGGGAUAGCCCGGCGAAAGCCGGAUUAAUACCGCAUACGACCUACGGGUGAAAGGGGGGGAUCGCAAGACCUCUCGCUAUUGGAGCGGCCGAUAUCAGAUUAGGUAGUUGGUGGGGUAAAGGCCUACCAAGCCUGCGAUCUGUAGUUGGUCUGAGAGGACGACCAGCCACACUGGGACUGAGAGACGGCCCAGACUCCUACGGGAGGUAGCAGUGGGGAAAUUUGGACAAUGGGCGCAAGCCUGAUCCAGCAAUGCCGCGUGCAGGAAGAAGGCCUUCGGGUUGUAAACUGCUUUUGUCAGGGAAGAAAUCCUCUGGGUUAAUACCUCGGGGGGAUGACGGUACCUGAAGAAUAAGCACCGGCUAACUACGUGCCAGCCGCCGCGGUAAUAC
rnacentral:rRNA from 1 species